AACGAACGUUGGCGGCGUGCCUAAUACAUGCAAGUCGAGCGAGAAACGGGUAGCAAUACCCGGAGUACAGCGGCGAAAGGGUGCGUAUGACAUGAAGAACGUACCCCUCCGUUCGGGAUAACCCCGCGAAAGCGGAGCUAAUACCGGAUACGGUCCCCCUCAUGCAUAUGGAGGGAUGAAAGUACGCAAGACGCGGAAGGAGCGCUUCAUGGCC
rnacentral:rRNA from 1 species